CAGGUAACAUCCCCUUGGGGGGAGCUGGCCCGAGGCCUGGCCGGGCUCCAUCGGCUCCCGGUUAGGGAGGAGAAAUUGCAGCUUAAUAUCAACUACUUUGAAAACCUCCCUGGAGCCCCGGAGCCAGGAGAGAUCUCCACCGGGCCCCCGAUAACAACUACGGGCCCGGUUGGGCUGAGGCCGCCCCGACUGCCACCGAGGAGUGGGCAGAGCUUUCCCCCCUCCCCUCCUCCGGUGAUUUUCAGAUAAAGAAGAAAAGGGUGGAGGAAAAAAACCAGGCCGAUCCGAGGUGCAGCGGCAGAGAGACUGCUGCCCGGCAGAGAUCACACGGCUGCUGCAGGCCUGAGCAAAGUUAACCCCUUCAGGGCAACAUGAAGCUGCCAAAGCCUAACCCUUCCUUAAGAGAGAGAAGAAAGAGACAGAGUGGACGUAGAAAUGACACAGCACGAGGAAAAGUUGCAAGAACAGCAGCUGCCUCAACCAGCUGAAGCCAUUGGUAACUUCAUCUGCACUGCAGUUCGUCAAGGAUCCAUUUCCCUCCCAGCAUUGUUCUCUUCCAAUACUUGUGCAAACACUUCAUAUUGCCACUCCACAAUCCUCCAGCAAUAGUUUUCAGAUUUCAUUGUUCCAAGAGGUCAUUCUCAGCUGCAUUUAUACAGCCCAUGAGUCUCGGCUGAGGGCUCCAGUCUGGUCAAUUUUGGUUUUGUGUUGAUUUGGCACAGCUUGGUUUUUAGUAGUGGGGGAGGGCCACAAAAGUAGCUUCUGUGAGAAGCUGCUGGAAGCUUCUUCCACCAUGUCCAACAGAGCCAGUCUCUGAUGGAUCUGAAGAUGGACAUGUUGGUGGCCCAACUGGAGAGGCUGGUAAUGCCCCUGUGAUGACAUAUUUAAGAAGAAAAUCAAAACAGUGCAUGUGCAGUUUUUGUCUGGGAGUGGUGAGGCAGCACUGCUGGGGCCAUCCUGGCACAGCCCACAACAACACACCACUGCAAUUACAGUGUGGCCCGUGGCGAGCCCUGCCUGCCUGGCCACCCCCUGCCAGCUGUGCUGUGGGCACAAAGGGCAGGGGCAGUGGCGGCAGCUUCUCCUUCCCAGUGCCCUGCAUCAACAGAGGCGUUAAACAGCACCAGUGCCACGGCGGCCACCACUGCCCGUGUGGUGGUGGCAGGGCCAACGGCCAACGGCAAAAACGUGGUGAGCAAUUCCCCAGCACAGAACCUAAAUGAAAUCGAUCUUUCGGUGCUGUAGGAUCUUGCAAGGCUUUUGAAUUGGUGGAACUUGUUGGUAAUGGUGCCGGAGCAGGUAGAUGCUGGAGAAAGCUCUGAUCCAGUGGAGACCCAAAGGAGAGAGGGGGCCCCUGCUCCCAGAGAUAGAGAAGGACCCUUGCUUCCAAACUAGAGCAGCCCAUCCUCAGAGGACUGGACGCCGUGGACGAGUGAUUCACACCACAGCAGUUUUGGGGAGACUGUUUGCCCAUGGGAGGGACCCACUUUGCAGCAGUUUUGGCAAGACUGCUGCUUGUGAGUUUAGAGCCACAUUGGAGAAGCUCAUGGAGAACUGUCUCCCAUGGGAGGGACCCCACAGCACAGCAGAGGAAAGAUUCCUCUCCUUGAGAGAACACAAGUUCUUGAGUGAUGGACUGACCAAAACCCCCAUGUCCUGUCUCCCUGUGCUGACAGUAGGAAAGAGGGAGGGGCUGAGGGAGAAGAUGGUGUUUUAAGGACUUAUUUUACUUCUCAUUAUCCUCCUCUGACUCUGCUAAUAAUAAACUUACUUUAUAUCUUUAAAUUUGAA